CAAGGCGACGAUCCCUAGCUGGUCUGAGAGGAUGACCAGCCACACUGGAACUGAGACACGGUCCAGACUCCUACGGGAGGCAGCAGUGGGGAAUAUUGCACAAUGGGCGCAAGCCUGAUGCAGCCAUGCCGCGUGUAUGAAGAAGGCCUUCGGGUUGUAAAGUACUUUCAGCGGGGAGGAAGGUGUUGUGGUUAAUAACCGCAGCAAUUGACGUUACCCGCAGAAGAAGCACCGGCUAACUCCGUGCCAGCAGCCGCGGUAAUACGGAGGGUGCAAGCGUUAAUCGGAAUUACUGGGCGUAAAGCGCACGCAGGCGGUCUGUCAAGUCGGAUGUGAAAUCCCCGGGCUCAACCUGGGAACUGCAUUCGAAACUGGCAGGCUUGAGUCUUGUAGAGGGGGGUAGAAUUCCAGGUGUAGCGGUGAAAUGCGUAGAGAUCUGGAGGAAUACCGGUGGCGAAGGCGGCCCCCUGGACAAAGACUGA
rnacentral:rRNA from 1 species